rnacentral:rRNA from 1 species
AGUAACGCGUAAAUAAUCUACCCUGGUGUUUGGGAUAACCAGCCGAAAGGCUGACUAAUACCGGAUAUAUGCUACCCUGUUGGGGGUAUCAGGAAAGGUGGCCUCUUCUUGAAAGCUACCGCACCUAGAUGAGUUUGCGUACCAUUAGCUAGUUGGUGAGGUAACGGCCCACCAAGGCGACGAUGGUUAGCGGGUCUGAGAGGAUGAUCCGUCACACUGGCACUGGAACACGGGCCAG